UUUGAGUUCCCUCGGUUUGAUGGAGACAAUCCUAUGGAAUGGAUAAGGACUACAGAGAAGUUCUUCUCCAUGGUGUAUGUGCCCGAGGAGGCCAAGGGGGACGAUGCCCAAAUGUACCUAAUAGGAAGAGCUGAUGUAUGGCUUAGAAACUCUGGCAUUUUGGAACAAAACCUGACAUGGGAACAAUUCUGCCAGGUAGUACUCAAAAGAUUCUCGGGGGACAGGUCUUAUGAGGUAGUUGAGAAUUUCAACUCCAUCAAACAAUUUGAAGAGAAAAUGUCUUCUUACAAAAGAGAAAACCCAGGUGUCUCUGAAAGCAACUACAUCAAAUGUUACAUAAAUGGUCUGAAACCUAAGAUCAAACAUUACCUGAAACCAUUCAAGCCACAGACCCUGUAUGAUGCAGUUGACACAGCUCGAGAUAUGGAACUAGGAACUCAAGCUCAGACCACUCAGAAGAAAUUUCCCUCCUACACCAACUACCAGAAAAGCAAUACAAACAUGCCUAGAUGGAAUGAUGGCAGUGCUCCUAAAAGAGAAGGUGACCCCAAAACCACAGCCAAACCUGAAGUUAGGUACAGGGAACCUGGAAUUUGCAGAUACUGUGGCAGCAAAUGGUUUUUUGGCCACAAG
rnacentral:rRNA from 1 species